AGAGUUUGAUCCUGGCUCAGGAUGAACGCUGGCGGCGUGCUUAACACAUGCAAGUCGAACGAUGAUCCCCAGCUUGCUGGGGGGAUUAGUGGCGAACGGGUGAGUAACACGUGAGUAACCUGCCCUUAACUCUGGGAUAAGCCUGGGAAACUGGGUCUAAUACCGGAUAUGACUCCUCAUCGCAUGGUGGGGGGUGGAAAGCUUUAUUGUGGUUUGGAGGACUCGCGGCCUAUCAGCUUGUUGGUGAGGUAUGGCUCACCAAGGCGACGACGGUAGCGGCCUGAGAGGGGACGGCCACACUGGACUGAGACACGGCCCAACUCCUACGGAGGCAGCAGGGGGAAUAUUGCACAAUGGGCGCAGCUGAUGCAGCGACCCCGUGAGGAUGACGGCCUCGGUUGUAACUCUUCA
rnacentral:rRNA from 1 species